GAUGAACGCUGGCGGCGUGCCUAAUACAUGCAAGUCGAGCGAACAGACGAGGAGCUUGCUCCUCUGACGUUAGCGGCGGACGGGUGAGUAACACGUGGAUAACCUACCUAUAAGACUGGGAUAACUUCGGGAAACCGGCGCUAAUACCGGAUAAUAUAUUGAACCGCAUGGUUCAAUAGUGAAAGACGGUUUUGCUGCCACUUAUAGAUGGUUCCGCGCCGCAUUAGCUAGUUGGUAAGGUAACGGCUUACCAAGGCAACGAUGCGUAGCCGACCUGAGCGGGUGAUCGGCCACACUGGAACUGAGACACGGUCCAGACUCCUACGGGAGGCAGCAGUAGGGAAUCUUCCGCAAUGGGCGAAAGCUUGACGGAGCAACGCCGCGUGAGUGAUGAAGGUCUUCGGAUCGUAAAACUCUGUUAUUAGGGAAGAACAAAUGUGUAAGUAACUAUGCACGUCUUGACGGUACCUAAUCAGAAAGCCACGGCUAACUACGUG
rnacentral:rRNA from 1 species